rnacentral:tRNA from 1 species
GUCCAGGGGCGUGAAUCGAACCCACAACCUUCUGCUUACCGGGCAGGUGCCAUGUCCACUAGGCUACCCUGGA